rnacentral:tRNA from 1 species
GCCGGCGUAGCUCAGUGGUGGAGCGAGACAUUCAUAAAGUCUAGGUCGCAGGUCCGAUUCCUGCCGUCGGCA